UACGUAGGGCGCAAGCGUUAUCCGGAAUUAUUGGGCGUAAAGAGCUCGUAGGCGGUUUGUCGCGUCUGCUGUGAAAGUCCGGGGCUCAACUCCGGAUCUGCGGUGGGUACGGGCAGACUAGAGUGAUGUAGGGGAGACUGGAAUUCCUGGUGUAGCGGUGAAAUGCGCAGAUAUCAGGAGGAACACCGAUGGCGAAGGCAGGUCUCUGGGCAUUAACUGACGCUGAGGAGCGAAAGCAUGGGGGAGCGAACAGG
rnacentral:rRNA from 1 species